rnacentral:rRNA from 1 species
GGUUUACCUGUGUGACUGCGUACCUUUUGUAUAAUGGGUCAGCGACUUAUAUUCUGUAGCAAGGUUAACCGAAUAGGGGAGCCGGAGGGAAACCGAGUCUUAAUUGGGCGUUAAGUUGCAGGGUAUAGACCCGAAACCCGGUGAUCUAGCCAUGGGCAGGUUGAAGGUUGGGUAACACUAACUGGAGGACCGAACCGACUAAUGUUGAAAAAUUAGCGGAUGACCUGUGGCUGGGGGUGAAAGGCCAAUCAAACCGGGAGAUAGCUGGUUCUCCCCGAAAGCUAUUUAGGUAGCGCCUCGUGAAUUCAUCUCCGGGGGUAGAGCACUGUUUCGGCUAGGGGGCCAUCCCGGCUUACCAACCCGAUGCAAACUGCGAAUACCGGAGAAUGUUAUCACGGGAGACACACGGCGGGUGCUAACGUCCGUCGUGAAGAGGGAAACAACCCAGACCGCCAGCUAAGGUCCCAAAGUCAUGGUUAAGUGGGAAACGAUGUGGGAAGGCCCAGACAGCCAGGAUGUUGGCUUAGAAGCAGCCAUCAUUUAAAGAAAGCGUAAUAGCUCACUGGUCGAGUCGGCCUGCGCGGAAGAUGUAACGGGGCUAAACCAUGCACCGAAGCUGCGGCAGCGAACGUAUCACUUAAAGCGAUUCAGCGGGUUACGAUUGACGGAGCGAAGCGACGUCAAAGCGUAUACAAAGUCGAGUCGGUUUAAGGAUACGUUCGUUGGGUAGGGGAGCGUUCUGUAAGCCUGUGAAGGUGGCCUGUGAGGGUUGCUGGAGGUAUCAGAAGUGCGAAUGCUGACAUAAGUAACGAUAAAGCGGGUGAAAAGCCCGCUCGCCGGAAGACCAAGGGUUCCUGUCCAACGUUAAUCGGGGCAGGGUGAGUCGACCCCUAAGGCGAGGCCGA